GAUGAACGCUAGCGGGAGGCUUAACACAUGCAAGCCGAGCGGUAUUGUUUCUUCGGAAAUGAGAGAGCGGCGUACGGGUGCGUAACACGUGUGCAACCUGCCUUUAUCUGGGGGAUAGCCUUUCGAAAGGAAGAUUAAUACUCCAUAAUAUAUUGAACGGCAUCGUUUAAUAUUGAAAGCUCCGGCGGAUAGAGAUGGGCACGCGCAAGAUUAGCUAGUUGGUGAGGUAACGGCUCACCAAGGCGAUGAUCUUUAGGGGACCUGAGAGGGUGAUCCCCCCCACUGGUACUGAGACACGGACCAGACUCCUACGGGAGGCAGCAGUGAGGAAUAUUGGUCAAUGGGUGCAAGCCUGAACCAGCCAUCCCGCGUGAAGGACGACUGCCCUAUGGGUUGUAAACUUCUUUUGUAUAGGGAUAAACCUACCCUCGUGAGGGUAGCUGAAGGUACUAUACGAAUAAGCACCGGCUAACUCCGUGCCAGCCGCCGCGGUAA
rnacentral:rRNA from 1 species